UCCGGCCGUGCGCUUUAGAAAUGUGGCCGACGCGAACACUUCCGGUCUGUGCUGCGCGGAAAUGGAGCCGGCUGGCAACCCAGCGUGAAAGCUACUGCCGGCGCGGAGCCUGUCACAGUCCUAGGCUCCCAUGAGCCCGUCCGUGACCGUCCACUGCCCGUUUUCUGGCAUUUUCCGUCUACGUUGCUGCGUUGCCUUUCGGUCAAUGAAAACAGAGCAGAGCUUUGGAUCUUGGUAAAACUUUAAAAUAAUUGUGAUACCCAUUCUUGAUGAGGACGUGGAAGAAACAGGCACCAGCCUACACUGUUGGUGGGAAUGCAAAUUGAUUCCAUUUUGUUCAUUAGUUCAUUCAACCAAUAUUCAACCAACUGUUUAGCACUUACUGUAAGCCACUUAGAUCUCCAGCAGGACUGGGCUAGGCCCUAGUUAUACAGCCAUACAGAAGACAAACGUGAGCACAGCCUUCAGCUGGUACAUCUAAGAAUCGUGCACUUGAUCAUAUGAAAGCUAUACCUCAAUAAAAGAAACAAGUAGAUGGGAACUAAAGCUGCCGAUUAGGCCUGAUCAAGAUGACAGCUCCCCAAAGCAUGGAGACCACGUGGCAGAGCCCCUGGGGGAAAGGCCAGUGGGGAGCUGGCCGAGACUGGCAAAGUCCAGGGCAAGAAACUGGAGGACAGGGCCUUUGACAAGGCCUAUGUGGUCCCUGGCCAGUUUUCAGCACUGAAGAAUGAUGAAGACUUCUUCUGGGAAUAGCUGAAAGACUUAGGAAGCCUCCGCUCCUUGAUACUCUUGAGACAGUGGCUUUCCUGGCAAACUCAAGGACACAUGAUGAGCUAAACUUUAGUGUGCCUCCAACUCCAGGCCACCUGGGCUUUGAACAAUUUGUAACUCCCAUUUAGCUGUAAAGCUCAAGGAGUCCAAGUUUAAAGAAACAGGUAUUUACAUAUGAGUGGAGCUAGAGAAGCAGGAAAGGGGGGUGGGUUUUAGUUUUAACCCCAUAUACGCUGGGUUCAAUGUGGGGAACUGAUAUCAGGGCUGAUGUUAAGAGCCUGUAACAUGUCCAUGCCCAGGAUCCAAACCGGCAAAAUCGACGGCCGCUGAAGCGGAGCAUGAAAACCCAACCACUCAGCCACGGGGCCGGCCCCAGGCCUGGUCUCGUUUGUAUCCUUCUACUUAAGGAUGAAGCUUUGGACACUACAGGCUUCAUGGUGGAUCAAAUAGUUUGCAGGUUAUAUCGGGCAGUUCAGUUUGCAGGGCCGCCUGGUUGUCCCAUGGACAAGGAUUCAGUCUCUUUCAGGUCCCAGUAGUGAGAUAAAGCUGUUUCUCAAAAGGAGAUCAGUUCUUUGCCAAACUAGGCCUGGCUUUCUUCAUAAGUCCCAGGAGCUUCUCCUGCAGUAUUCCAUGUGGGCUUGCUAUAGACUCCGUCAACGUGGUGAUCGCAACAUGAUUGGAUCUGGUGGGGCAUGACGACCAAGUGGCCUAACUACUUACACUGCAGCCUAGACAACUGGAUAGUUUUCCUUGUGCUCUGGAUUCCUCUCAAAGCUGACAGCCUUUCAGGUCACUUAGUAAAUGAGUAGGGUGCUAGACACCCAAAUAUGAUGUAUGUCCCCUCAAAAAUCCGAGAAGACCACCAAGAACCAUAUUUCAACGAAUCUGAGACACUAUCAACUGAAAGUUGCGCCUUCAUUUAUGUUCCACUAUGAAGAAUUUUUAAAACACUGUCAAUUAAACUGUAAUAUACUUUUGAUUGUAAGAUGAAUUCUCAUUUCAGAGAUGUUAAAAUGUGGGGGGAAACAUUGUGAACGUACUAAAUGCCACCAAAUUGUUCACUUAAGAAGGGUUAAUUUUGGGGCUGGCCCGGUCGUGUAGUAGUUAAGUUCAUGCGCUCCACUUUGGCAGCCCAGGGUUCACUGGUUUGGAUUGCAGGCACAGACCUGCACACCACUCAUCAAGCAAUGGUGUGGCAGCAUCCCACAUACAAAAUAGAGGAAGUUGGCACAGAUGUUAGCUCAGGGACAAUCUUCCUCAAGCAAAAAGAGAAAGAUUGGCAACAGAUGUUAGCUCAGAGACAAUCUUCCUCACCAAAAAAAAUAAUAAAAUAAAAUGGUUAAUGUUAUGUUAUGUGAAUUUUACUUCAAUAAAUUUUUUUAAAAUGUGAAUCA
ensembl:lncRNA